rnacentral:rRNA from 1 species
UGAGGAAUUUUGCGCAAUGGGAGCAAUCCUGACGCAGCAACGCCGCGUGGGUGAUGAAGGCCUUCGGGUCGUAAAGCCCUGUCAGGUGGGAAGAAUGUCCCGGGACUGAACAGGUUCCGGGAGUGACGGUACCACCAGAGGAAGCACCGGCUAACUCCGUGCCAGCAGCCGCGGUCAUACGGAGGGUGCAAGCGUUAUUCGGAAUUACUGGGCGUAAAGCGCGUGUAGGCGGUCCCGCAAGUCUGAUGUGAAAUCCGCGGGCUUAACCCGGGAAGUGCAUUGGAAACUGUGGGACUAGAGUACUGUGGAGGAUGGGGGAAUUCCCGGUGUAGAGGUGAAAUUCGUAGAGAUCGGGAGGAAUAUCAGUGGCGAAGGCGCCCAUCUGGACGGUAACUGACGCUGAGACACGAAAGCGUGGGGAGCAAACA